rnacentral:lncRNA from 1 species
UCCGUAAAUGGGCUGGUGAAAUGGCCAGGCGCAUUGGCCCGGGCACUGAGUCUCUGAGUUACCCACCCAGAUGUACGCGAACUUGUUGUUCUUGUUGUGGCCACUACUCUUAAUGGAUCCCGAAGCAGAUCCGUGAGUCCCACAUCGGCUCAUGCAAAACCCUUCAACGGCAACAUCAGAUGCCGUCAACACAACAUUAAUGGCAUCUUUUUGGUCACCCUUUGAGGCCAGCUUUACAAUAUCGCCGUUUUUGAGCGACUUGCCAAGUGAGCAGGUCUCGUCGGAAAUUUGCUUUCCCAAAGAGAGGGAAAGGGUCGAUUUUUUGGAGAUGAGGUGGUAGUAUUUCUCUGUUGUUUUCCACCACGUGGCAACAGAUGGUUGGUUGGCUUUUAAUUGGGAAGAAUACGAGGACAAAGAGGUGAUGAAAUCUGAAAUAAUGGCCUUUUGGGAAGGAUUGAACUUGCCAUACCAUAUGAGAUUGAUUGCAAUUUUGCCUGAAAGAAGUGCCCCGUUGUGGUAUUGCAAGAGCCGAUCAGGCUGCUGCUGCGCUUGUGCUGCCUCAUUAAGGGUUCUCGCAGCUAUAGAGAUUUGAAGUAGAGAUAUCACUAUUAGUAGCUUCAAGAGAUUUUGAGGAACAAAAGAAGCCAUUUCGAUUCGAAGACUAGUAAAUAAAGAGAGCUUUCUU